CCCCCCCUCCAACCCGCCUUCUAAAUACAUACACACACAUACAUUCACUGACAGAUACGCAUACACUCGCUAACAGAAACACACUCACUGACACACUCACACUCACUAACAGACACACACUCACUGACACAGUCAGACACACACAUACACACUAACAGACAAACACAGUCAGACACACACACUAACAAACACACACACAUUAACAGACACACACUCACUGGCAAACACACACACUCACAGACACAGUCAGACAAACAC